UACAGAGACUGCGAGCGUUGUUCGGAUUUACUGGGCGUAAAGGGCGCGUAGGCGGCAAUUCAAGUCAUCUGUGAAAUCUCCGGGCUUAACCCGGAACGGUCAGAUGAUACUGCUUUGCUAGAGUGCGGAAGGGGCAAUCGGAAUUCUUGGUGUAGCGGUGAAAUGCGUAGAUAUCAAGAGGAACACCUGAGGUGAAGACGGGUUGCUGGGCCGACACUGACGCUGACAGCGCGAAAGCCAGGGGAGCAAACGGG
rnacentral:rRNA from 1 species